CUCUGUCAGAACCGGGACCUGACAGUGGGGACACAUCAUCUGGCCGGGAGGUGGAGUUAAUCAGGAGCAUCCAGGCUCUGUUGAAGAGAACGCUGAGUCAGGCUGUCAAUCAAAUCAAGAACAGAACGUACAUAAACCAAAAAUCAACUCGCUGAUGGGACGUUCCAUUAUAAGGAGAGUGGCCAGCUCCAAGG